AGCAGCCGCAGUAAUUUCAGCUCCAAUAGUGUAUAUUAAAGUUGUUGCAGUUAAAAAGCUCGUAGUUGAAUUUUGGGAUCAGUUGGUCGGUCGUGUCUUGGUACGUACUGGUCAAAUUGAUUCCUACCUUCUGACGAAUCACAAUGUCAUUAAUUUGGUGUCGCAGGAAAUCAGGACUGUUACUCUGAAAAAUUGAGUGUUUAAAGCAGGCUCGUGCUUGAAUACAUUAGCAUAGAAUAAUGAAAUAAGACGUUUGAUUCUAUUUUGUUAGUUUCUAGGAUCGAUAUAAUGAUUAAUAGGAAUAGUUGGAGGUAUUAGUAUUCAAUUGUCAGAAGUGAAAUUCUUGGAUUUAUUGAAGACUAACUACUGCGAAAGCAUUUGCCAAGAAUGUUUUCAUUAAUCAAGAACGA
rnacentral:misc_RNA from 1 species